CAGGUAGAUUUUAAGUACAAAUAUAUAUGCACAGAGAGAGAGAGAGAGAGAGAGAGAGAGAGAGAGAGAGAGAGAGAGAAGACUAAUGGCAUAGAACAGCCACAAAUAUAAAAAGGAGGAAGGAGACUAACAUUUAAUGAGUGCCUUCUAUGUGCCUGACACAGUUCUGACCUGUAGUUGCAGCAUCUCACUUGGUAUAUAAAGAAAAACCUACAGCUAUUUCUGGGAUCUUGGCCACAGAACCUCCUUAUAGUCUGCUACCUGCAGACAUAGCAUUCCUUUCCUCUGGGGGAUGCAGUGUUGAAGGCGCCAUUUGGAAGCAGAAAGGAGCCCUCACCAGAGAUGAUGAUCAAAAGAAGACAUGAGAAUUUUUUCUUGAUUAAUCACCCAUGUCCACCCCUAAUCCUAGUGUAUAAAAAUGUAGAGGAAUGGGAAUCUUACUCUGCCUUACAAAUUUUUGGCGGAAACAAAGACAAAGUAAAAUGUCUGUGAUUUUGCUCUAAGAGCCAUAGAAAAAUUCUGAAAUACAAGUACUGCAGGAGUUGCUCUACAUUUGACAAAGAAUAGAUUGUGCAUGUUGUCAUGGGAAAGUGUAUGACUGGAGGCGCUUGUGCAUUUGUCCUUGUUUUACAUAACCUACCUCAUUCACGCAUGGCACAAAGAUAAAAAAAUUGGAUCUUGGUUGGUUAUUUAAAAUUCACAAAGUCCUAUUCUUGGCCAUUUAUAUGCUUUAUUUUCUCAAUCUAUACUGAAACUUAGGAGCAAAGAUUCUCCUGAUUUUAGGGUGUGGUUUCGGAAAAGAAUCAGAGAGAAAAUGAACAAUGAAAAGUAUUGAACAUGCCCUCUGUGUAAGAAACCAUUGCAGAUGAUUCUUUCAAUCCUUGCAACUACCUUGCCUCCUAUAAGGUAGAGCAUUUGUUUUCUGGCUCUCCACUAGCACCAAGAACAACGUCUGGCACAUAGUAGGGGUUUAAUAUGCACUUCUUCAAUGAAGAAGUGAACAGUCCACAAGCUGAGUAGCAUUAUCUUCACUACACUGAUAAGGAAGCCGAGGUUCAGAAAGAUUAAAUUUCCUAGUCAUAGUCUUAAAAUUAAAUACUAGGUAGAGACAGGUUAUAAAUCAGAGUUGUUGACCUUCACUACCAGGCCUCUGUUCUCUCUACUAAGUUGGUAAAAAGAGCAGUGGCUAAACUUAGUUCAUAAAGUCUCAUGGUCUAAUAGCUAUAGAGGUGAAGCAUUCUAUAGAAAUGAAAACUAUGUUGAUUUGUUUCUCCCUACUCCAUAGCAGGACCAUCCUCCCUGCCCAAUGACCACCUUAAGACUUAUUGAAAAAUAAUAAAGGCACAUCUUGCAGACUGCAAACAUAAAAGAUGAGUGCCAAUUCCAUGUGCUGAGUUAUAAUAAUUUCUAAUGAUCAAAGGCAGCACUAUCUCUAAACCAAAAAUCCUGUUUUCUAGCCUUUGCAAUAGAUGAAUUGUGAUACUAUGGACAGUUUCAGUUUCUUCAUCAGUAAAUGUUGGGAUGUGGGAGAAGUUAAAUGCUAGCAAGAGUCAUUCGAUCUCUAAUAUUUUCUGAUUCCUUCUCCCCCAGCCACAAUUAGGCAACUUACAUCUUAAGAAUUGAGAAAACAUAACGUCUAUUUUGUUUUCUCUUUAUUCAAGGAAGCCUACAUCACUUUUCUAAUUUAUAAUUUGUCCAUGAUUACUUAUAUGUAGAAUCUACUUCAAGGGCAUUCUGAAUUGGAAAAAAUGGAAUAUGCUUUGUUCUUGCUUUAGUACAUGGAGAGUUAAUUUUUUUUUUUUUUUUUAGUGAUGGUCAUCUAUCCAAUAAAUACGUCUUUCUACAUUUUUACCCCUUGUUAAUAAUAAUUAUAAUUAUUUUGAUCAGGUGGGUUUUUACAGUUUUAUUCCUUCUUUAUUAUUUUCACUUUAUGGUCCAAAAAUGCAAGUUUGUUAUGGAUGAAAAUAUGACAAAUUUGAACUCGGUUACUGCCACUAAUCAGGCUUAGAAAAAAAUUAGAACAUUUAAUUGAUUUCCCACAGCUCAGAGUUAUGGAUUUUGAAAACAGAAAUGGAUUUUUUUUCCUUAUGGAUAAGAGAAACAAUGCGGUGAUGACUAAUAAUUAGCAUGGCUUCCAUGCUGGGACAGUAACAGGAACUGGUAGAGACCAUGGCUGAAUGAAGACCAUACACAUUGCCUAUAGAAGGCAGCCCCUACUCAGCUUAGCCAAAUUUUCUCAUGUAGAAUUAUAGGUCUAGUGGAUCUAGAUCUUAAUAUAUUUUUGAGAAAAGCUAGAAAUGUGGAUUUUUAUAUCAAAUGUAUCCGUUUUUAAUGCUGGUGCAAUUUCUAAAAAUAAACAAAAACUGUAUGGGCCAAAUAAAAUAUAUACGCGAGCUGAAUUAGGCUAGUGGAUUACUAGUUUGAGAACUCUUAUUUAGAAAGAUCUGCCUCUGAGAAUUAGUGUUUCCUUCUUGACCAGGCAGAAUAUGGAUCUGUGUGUAUGUGCUUCUAUGUAUGUGAUUUAGCAAUUAACCAGUAAACCUGCCCCCUUCAAAAGACGCAUAUUGAUGAAAUCAUUUGUGACCUCACAGGAAUCACAAAUGAUGUUCCUAUGACGCCCUAGAUUGUUCUGUUACACAAGGGGUACCAAAGUCCACUCUGAGCUUUUCCUCUGGGAACAGAUCCCAGAUUAUUCCAGACUUAAGACAUGGAGAUAUAUCUUGCUAGAGGUAGGAAGAUGAUAAGAUCAGUUUCUAUAGGUAGAGGAUAAUGUGUCCUAAAAUGUAGGUAGAGAUAAGUCUGACAGUGGUUUAGACAAAAAGGGCCUCUGCUAAUGGUGGAGAGAUCAAGGAAGAAAAGAGCAACGUUAAAGUGAGGCUGUACCCACAGAUCAUGCUCAAGCAAAUUCGAACCGUGAGCGCAUUUCUCUUAAACAAUGAACACUUAGAAUAAAAAUUAAAAUUUCCCACAAAUUUCUAAUUUUAAAAUAGUUUCCCAAGAUUUCAGUGGUAUUGUAUAUAUGCCCAUAUAAUUUUUUGGAUUACUAUUCCCACAAGUGUAAGAUGAAAGAGGACCUGCCCUCCAUUCUAUCUACUCCCUCUCUGCAAAGGCCAUUUUGAAGAUCUCAGUUUUACUGAAAGGGGUCUGCCACACAUAACUUCCCUGGUGUACCAGCAACAAGUGUUCAGUGGACCAUGGCAACACAAAGAAUGACGGAGGAGAGAAAAUGCCAUGCAGAAGUGAUAGUCAAGAUGAAGAUGUGGGAGAGGAGCAGCCCCCAGUAUAUAUUCAGUGUGUCCUCUGAAGUAACAACCAUCCCAUCUGGCUGAGAAGUGAUGGACACGGCUCCUUAACCACACUGUACCCUCUGUUCUUGGCACCUCUCUACCAGAAAGAUAUCAACAAAUUGGAUGGAAUUCAGAGAACAGUAAGAAAAAUGAUUAAAGAGAUGGAGGCAGUGACUUAUGAGGAAAGAUGAAAAGGACUAAAUCUAUGUAGCUUGGCAAAGCAACAACUGAGGUGGCGUAUGAAAACUGUCUACAAGCAUUUGAAGAAUAUAAACACCAAGGGAAGAGAGGGAACUUUUUAGAAUGGUCUGGGGAAUAAGCAGAGUAAGAGGACAGAAUUGAAGAAAGGAGAGAGAUAUGCUAAGUUGGGGGUGGGGGCGUUUUCUCAUCAAUUGUAAAUUUUGAUAAAUAACAAAAUUAAGUCUGGAGAGAAAGAGUUGCAUCUCAUGCUUUUAGGUUACAAUCAGUGUUGACCUGCACUGAGAAAAUGGUAAGUGAGAGAAUAAAUAGUAUCUGUUUGUAUGUAGACAUAUAAUAUUUGAGCUGUCUUUUUCAGCUUACCAAGUGCUUCUACAUGCAUUACACCAUCAAAUUUUCAAAUUGACUGUAUGUCAUUAUGAGUUCAUUUUAAAUAAGAAAAAGCUAAAGAUUACUUCUAAAACACACAUAAAUAUAUCUCUAACCCUGAGUUCAUAAUCCCUUUCUUCUUAUUCUAGAUUUUAAAAUUUUAAUACAAUGUAGACUAUAAUCACUCACAAUAUGGAUAAUGAAUUUAAGGCUAUGUUUUAAUUAGCAGUCCACCUCACUGUACCCAUUGUCUUGUUCUUUCCUGGAGCAGAUUAGACACAAACUGUAAUCAGGGCAAAAUUCUAUAGAUGACCCAGUGAGAAAAACAAUUCCUUCUUAAAUUCUCUGGUUAAGCACUUUUUCUUGGGUGCUGUAUUAACAUCAUGCUGACACUCCCUAACUGUUAACAGCAGCCCUAAGGUCAUUCACUAAUGCAAGACGUUGAGACCCACUUAAUAUAAUAUACCAUCCCAAGCAAGGAUAUUUACCAUAUAACCUGAAUCAAAGUCUUAAGAUAUGGAGCUCAAGUCUGCUAAGAGAUGUCACUUGUGUUUUGUUGCCUUCAACCACCUAUCAUUAUGCUAAGUAUUGAGUAGAGAUCUACAUGGAUAAUAAACCAGGUACGAACACUGUUGUUUCUAACUAGAGUUUUAAGCCUAAAUCUGUAGAAGGUUUCUAAUCAUGAUGAACUGUCCUGGAACACUUAUGAGCUGUAAAGACACCUUUUGCAUAUCUAAGAAGCUAGACUAGGCCAGACUUGGGGGCUCACGCCUGUAAUCCCAGCACUUUGGGAGGCCGAGGUGGUCUCAUCACCUGAGGUCAGGAGUUCGAGACCAGCCUGGCCAACAUGGCAAAACCCUGUCUCUAGUAAAUAUACAAAAAUGAGCCGGGCAUGGUGGUGCAUACCCGUAAUCUCAGCUACUUGGGAGGCUGAGCCAGGAGAAUCACUUGAACCCGGGAGGCAGAGGUUGUAACGAGCCGAGAUCGUGCCAUUGCACUCCAGCCUGGGUGAUAAGAGCGAAAAUCCAUCUUUAAGAAAAAGAAAAGAAAAGAAAAAAGAAGCUAG
rnacentral:lncRNA from 10 species